rnacentral:rRNA from 1 species
CCUACGGGAGGCAGCAGUUAGGAAUAUUCGGCAAUGGGGGAAACCCUGACCGAGCAAUGCCGCGUGUGAGAUGACGGCCCUAUGGGUUGUAAAUCACUUUUAUUUGGGAAGAAUUGUAAGCAUAGGAAAUGAUGUUUACUUGACGGUACCUUUUGAAUAAGCCCCGGCUAACUACGUGCCAGCAGCCGCGGUAAUACGUAGGGGGCGAGCGUUAUCCGGAUUUAUUGGGCGUAAAGCGUGCGUAGGCGGCUUGUUAAGUCCAGAAUUAAAGCCCGAGGCUUAACCUCGGUUCGUUCUGGAUACUG